AAGUCGUAACAAGGUUUCCGUAGGUGAACCUGCGGAAGGAUCAUUAGUGAGGAGGAUGAUGCGGGGAGGGGUGGGCGUUGUUGGGUUGGUUUGGGUUGGGUGUGUUUGUGUGGCGCGGAGGGGUUUGGCAGCGUGCAACCUGUGUAAGCAGGUUUCGAUUGCGCCAUACCUUUUCUUGUUCCAUUCAGACACACAGACACACACCCAACCCAACCACGCCCACAGAAACGACAACGACACAUCACAUAUACAAAAACUUUUAACAACGGAUCUCUAGGCUCCC
rnacentral:misc_RNA from 1 species